rnacentral:rRNA from 1 species
AGUGAACGCUGGCGGCGUGCUUAACACAUGCAAGUCGAACGAGAACGGAUUAUAGCUUGCUAUAAUUGUCAGCUAAGUGGCGCACGGGUGAGUAAUGUAUAGAUAACCUGCCCUCUAGAAAGGAAUAACAGUUGGAAACGACUGCUAAUGCCCUAUAUGCCUUUAAUACAUAAGUAUGCAAGGGAAACGCUUUAGUGCUAGAGGAUGGGUCUGUAUGGUAUCAGCUUGUUGGUGAGGUAAUGGCUCACCAAGGCUAUGACGCCUAACUGGUUUGAGAGGAUGAUCAGUCACACUGGAACUGAGACACGGUCCAGACUCCUACGGGAGGCAGCAGUGGGGAAUAUUGCACAAUGGACGAAAGUCUGAUGCAGCAACGCCGCGUGGAGGAUGACACAUUUCGGUGCGUAAACUCCUUUUAUAUAGGAAGAUAAUGACGGUACUAUAUGAAUAAGCACCGGCUAACUCCGUG